rnacentral:rRNA from 1 species
GAAACGACUGCUAAGACUGGAUAGGAGACAAGAAGGCAUCUUCUUGUUUUUAAAAGACCUAGCAAUAGGUAUGCUUAGGGAAGAGCUUGCGUCACAUUAGUUAGUUGGUGGGGUAAUGGCCUACCAAGACGAUGAUGUGUAGCCGGGCUGAGAGGUCGAACGGCCACAUUGGGACUGAGACACGGCCCAAACUCCUACGGGAGGCAGCAGUAAGGAAUUUUCGGCAAUGGAGGAAACUCUGACCGAGCAAUGCCGCGUGAACGAUGAAGUAUUUCGGUACGUAAAGUUCUUUUAUUAGGGAAGAAAAGAUGGUGGAAAAACCAUUAUGACGGUACCUAAUGAAUAAGCCCCGGCUAACUAUGUGCCAGCAGCCGCGGUAAUACAUAGGGGGCAAGCGUUAUCCGGAAUUAUUGGGCGUAAAGGGUGCGUAGGCGGUUAAAUAAGUUUAUGGUCUAAGUGCAACGCUCAACGUUGUGAUGCUAUAAAAACUGUUUAGCUAGAGUUGGAUAGAGGCAAGUGGAAUUCCGUGUGUAGUGGUAAAAUGCGUAAAUAUACGGAGGAACACCAGAAGCGAAGGCGGCUUGCUGGGUCUUAACUGACGCUGAGGCACGAAAGCGUGGGGAGCAAACAGGAUUAGAUACCCUGGUAGUCCACGCCCUAAACGAUGAGUACUAAACGUUGGAUAAAACCAGUGUUGAAGUUAACACAUUAAGUACUCCGCCUGAGUAGUACGUACGCAAGUAUGAAACUUAAAGGAAUUGACGGGACUCCGCACAAGCGGUGGAUCAUGUUGUUUAAUUCGAAGGUACCCGAAAAACCUCACCAGGUCUUGACAUGCUUUUGCAAAGCUGUAGAAAUACAGUGGAGGUUAUCAGAAGCACAGGUGGUGCAUGGUUGUCGUCAGCUCGUGUCGUGAGAUGUUGGGUUAAGUCCCGCAACGAGCGCAACCCUUGUUGUUAAUUGCCAUCAUUAAGUUGGGGACUUUAGCAAGACUGCCAAUGAUAAAUUGGAGGAAGGUGGGGACGACGUCAAAUCAUCAUGCCCCUUAUGACCUGGGCUACAAACGUGAUACAAUGGCUGUUACAAAGGGUAGCUAAAGCGUAAGCUUCUGGCGAAUCUCAAAAAAGCAGUCUCAGUUCGGAUUGAAGUCUGCAACUCGACUUCAUGAAGUUGGAAUCGCUAGUAAUCGCGAAUCAGCAUGUCGCGGUGAAUACGUUCUCGGGGUUUGUACACACCGCCCGUCA